AUUGAAGUAGUCAAUACUUUCAAGAGCGGGGCCUCCUUUCAGGGGGCCCUGCGGAGACAGUCCUCGGUCACCAGCCAGAGCCAGGAUGUAGCCAAUCUCUCUAGCCCUAGUCGCGUGUCGUUGUCCAAUGCUCUUUCCUCUCCGACCAGCCUUCCUCCUGCUGCAGCCGGGCAGGGCUAGAGAACCCUGGACACAGAGUUCAGCAAGAGAGAGUGAAAUUAAAAGAGAUCCGCGUCGUGAAGGCGUUCCGUAGCUCUCUCUAUGAAGGUUUAGAAAAGCCUGAAUCUCGAACCUCCAUCCAUAACUUCAUGGCUCAUCCUGAAUUCCGGAUCGAAGAUUCCCAGCCCCACAUCCCCCUCAUUGAUGACACCGACCUGGAAGAAGAUGCCGCGCUCAAGCAGAACUCGAGCCCGCCGUCGUCCCUCAACAAGAACAACAGCGCCAUCGACAGUGGGAUCAACCUGACGACCGACACAAGCAAAUCAGCUACCUCUUCAAGUCCAGGGAGCCCCAUCCACAGCCUGGAGACGUCGCUUUAGCUGAGUACCCUGUCGCCUGCCCGCCCGCCCUCAUGGACCCCGCUGCCACCCGCUUUCCGGGCACCCAUCCAUCCAGGCACCCAACUCACCCAAGCAGCAACGAGCAACAAUCGGAAACCAAAUACUGGAGAGAAAACCAACGUUUCCACCAACAGACCCUUUCUCUGGCUGCGAUGCUGUUUGAACUCUUUUUCACUUCAAGGCAAGGGGCGGGAUCUCCACUGGGGGCUUACGGGAGUGAGCGGUUUUCCCAAAACAAGCCCUUCCUGGCUCCCACCCAGACAUGGACCAGCCAUGCACCCGCCCAGCCACCACGUCCCCCGCAUGAAUGUACUGUACACUUUCAAUCCUCCCCUUGUUUGGUUUUU
rnacentral:sRNA from 1 species